CCGGAGCGGGUUGGCCUGUGCCUUGCUCGACAGGUGGCGCUAGUUGUGGACACAGGUGGCGACGAUGUCCCUACUGACCAUUGGAUGGUGGCGCCACCCUAAGCCAGUGGUGGCGCAGAAAGUCCAGUGCGCCGCCCAUCGACGUGGCGUUUUUUGGCUGUGUGGCGCCGGCGUGAGACGCAUGGAGUUUGUGCGCCGCCGUUCGCCACAAUGUGAUUCGGUGGAAAAACUUUGAAACCUACCUACAUUCUACAUUCUACGUUCUACGUUACUACACCGCUACUACUUCUAUCUACGGCCCGCAUUUCUUCGCUAUGCCGCUGUCUUAUUUGUCCGUUCCUACCACCAAUUGUUCACCUAAACAACUUCGCCUUACCAUAUCGUUUUCGCCGUUGGCACGCUGCCAGAUGACCCUUUUGCCAUGAAAGCCUGAAUAUAUUAUUUAUUUGUUUUUA